ACCAUCCUUGACAAUUAUUCUGGUCAGAGGCUGAUAGGUGGAUUCUGAUGGUACAGGACAAUAGACUGGAAAGUUGAUGGUGGAACAAGGAAACAUCUUGCUUCAGCGGCCCUUUCUCAUGUGAAUUGGUGGCCUGCUUGCCAGGUGAAUCAAGGAUGUGACAAAGGAAGUCUCCCUUCGCAGUCAGAGUCUCUGAGACAUUUUGAUGCACUGAAGCUUGGUGGCAGAGUGAUCGUAAAGAAAGGGCGGC
rnacentral:lncRNA from 1 species